rnacentral:rRNA from 1 species
UGGGGAAUUUUGGACAAUGGGCGCAAGCCUGAUCCAGCAAUGCCGCGUGCAGGAUGAAGGCCUUCGGGUUGUAAACUGCUUUUGUACGGAGCGAAAAGGUCUGCCCUAAUACGGUGGGCUCAUGACGGUACCGUAAGAAUAAGCACCGGCUAACUACGUGCCAGCAGCCGCGGUAAUACGUAGGGUGCGAGCGUUAAUCGGAAUUACUGGGCGUAAAGCGUGCGCAGGCGGUUAUGUAAGACAGAGGUGAAAUCCCCGGGCUCAACCUGGGAACUGCCUUUGUGACUGCAGGGCUAGAGUGCGGCAGAGGGGGAUGGAAUUCCGCGUGUAGCAGUGAAAUGCGUAGAUAUGCGGAGGAACACCGAUGGCGAAGGCAAUCCCCUGGGCCUGUACUGACGCUCAUGCACGAAAGCGUGGGGAGCAAACA